rfam:Syntrophaceae bacterium CG2_30_58_14 cg2_3.0_scaffold_3279_c, whole genome shotgun sequence.
GGCAAUCGUUAGGGGUGCUCGAUCGUUCGGGCUGAGAAAAAACCCUAAUUACCUGAUCUGGUUAAUGCCAGCGUAGGGAAACGGUUAAUAUCAUAC